AACGAACGCUGGCGGCAGGCCUAACACAUGCAAGUCGAGCGGACCUUUCGGGGUCAGCGGCGGACGGGUGAGUAACGCGUGGGAAUAUGCCCUUCUCUACGGAAUAGUCCUGGGAAACUGGGGGUAAUACCGUAUACGCCCUUUGGGGGAAAGAUUUAUCGGGGAAGGAUUAGCCCGCGUUGGAUUAGGUAGUUGGUGGGGUAAUGGCCUACCAAGCCGACGAUCCAUAGCUGGUUUGAGAGGAUGAUCAGCCACACUGGGACUGAGAAACGGCCCAGACUCGAACGGGAGGCAGCAGGUGGGACGCUGAGAGUAUGGUGGCAACCGUGAUCGAGCGCUGUCGCGUGGGAGAGGAAGGCUUUAGGCUUGAAAAGCUUGUUAAGAUGGGAAAAUAAUAACGGUACGAGCAGAAGAAGCCCCGGCCAAAUCCGAACCAGGCCCCCGGUAAUAAGAGGAACCGCACAAUUCUCGAC
rnacentral:rRNA from 1 species